rnacentral:rRNA from 1 species
CAGCAGUCGCCGCGGUAAUACGGAGGGUGCAAGCGUUAUCCGGAUUUAUUGGGUUUAAAGGGUCCGUAGGCGGACUUAUAAGUCAGUGGUGAAAGCCUGUCGCUUAACGAUAGAACUGCCAUUGAUACUGUAAGUCUUGAGUAUAUUUGAGGUAGCUGGAAUAAGUAGUGUAGCGGUGAAAUGCAUAGAUAUUACUUAGAACACCAAUUGCGAAGGCAGGUUACCAAGAUAUAACUGACGCUGAGGGACGAAAGCGUGGGUAGCGAACAGGAUUAGAUACCCGAGUAGUCCCUGUCUCUUAUAA